rnacentral:rRNA from 1 species
ACACUGACGUCGCGACGCAUAUCAAUAAGCGGAGGAAAAGAAACUAACAAGGAUUCCCUUAGUAACGGCGAGUGAUAGCGGGAAGAGCUCAAAUUUGGAAUCUUCAAGGUUUUACCUUGACGAAUUGUAGUUUAAAGAAGUGUUUUCUGUUGAAGUUUUGGUAAAAGUUCUUUGGAAUAGGACAUCAUAGAGGGUGAGAAUCCCGUAUUUGACCAUUACUUUCAGCUUUGUGAUACACUUUCAAAGAGUCGGAUUGUUUGGGAAUGCAGUCCAAAAUGGGUGGUAAAUUUCAUCUAAAGCUAAAUAUUGGCGAGAGACCGAUAGCGAACAAGUACCGUGAGGGAAAGAUGAAAAGAACUUUGAAAAGAGAGUUAAACAGUACGUGAAAUUGUCAAAAGGGAAGCGUUUGACACCAGUGUUGCUUUCUCGAAAAUCAAUUAAAAAGAGUUGGAUUUUGUGUUGUAUUGACUUUAUCAGGCUUUCUUCACUCUUUUCCAGCUUUUUUUAAUGCACUUUUCGUUUAACAAGUCAACAUCAGUUUCUUUUGUUGUAAAAAGGUCAUUGGAAGGUGGCUCUCUCUUCGGAGAAAGUGUUUAUAGCCUUUGACUCAUGCAAUCGGAGAGACUGAGGUCUGCAGCGUAGAUCCUUCGGGGUUAGAUACAUUUGUGCUAAGUUAUAGCUUUUCAUAGACAACUUGUUGACUAUGUUUAGUCUUGUAGCUUACUCGCUUAUGCUAUUUUACCUACGCUUAGGAUGUUGAACUCUAUCACACACAG